rnacentral:lncRNA from 1 species
ACGUCUACCUUUUUACAGAACCGAAAUUAUUUUACACGAAAGGACGGAUAUUAAGCGAUGCCGCCGACACACACCCUGCAAUUAAGCCACCUGUGAAUGCACGGAACGUGUGGCAACGGCAAGAAGCCGCCAAGGCUCUCGUUUGAGGAGCAAACACGCCCGUAAGCAUGGAUACGAUUUACAGGCUGAUGCAUUUUUACAUAAUCAUAAAACUGUACAGCUGGAAGGAACCUCAAGGAUCAUCACGUCCAGUUCCCUACCAAAGCAGGGAAUCCACAGAAAAAGCAUCCCUGACCAAUGGCCAUCUAGCCUCCAAUGAAGUACAGCCCAACCACACACUGAAGCAAUUCAUUCAAUUGUUGAACAGUUCUUCAUUAUAAAGAAGUUAUUUUUAAUGUUUGGUGAAAUCCCGUUUCUCGUAAUUUGAAUUCAUUACUUUGAGCCUACCCCUGGAACUACAGAAAAUAAAACUUGCUCCAUCUUCUAAAUGGCUUGGGCC